rnacentral:lncRNA from 1 species
AAUAUAUGAUCUACAUGCAGUAUCCAAUACCCAAGUAUCAGAGUCGGAGGUACUCAAUGAAAAAUAGGUUUGCAUCAUAUACACACCUUUUGAUAUAUACUUGUACCCUGCUUCAAGCUUAUAAGAUAAUUCUUGCAAUUAUUCUUCCAAUAUCCUAACUUGCCACAAAAAUAAUAGGUAAUAUCCGUGGGGACAUCCAUUGUCUUCUUAUUUUUGAAAGUAUUAUCACUGAUCAAAUCAGAUUUAAAAUUUUUAGAACAUCAGAGAUCUUCUCCUAUGUGAAUCUAAUUUGCAAGUUUCUCAACCAGUCCACAU